GUGGCCCGCCGCCGCGGUAAUCCGGAGGGUGCAAGCGUUGCCCGGAAUCACUGGGCGUAAAGGGUGCGCAGGCGGGGCAGCAAGUCGGAGGUGAAAGCCCAUGGCUCAACCAUGGAAGUGCCUUCGAAACUGUUGCUCUUGAGUCCCGGAGAGACUGUCGGAAUUCGUGGUGUAGCGGUGAAAUGCGUAGAUAUCACGAGGAACACCAGAGGCGAAAGCGGACAGCUGGACGGGUACUGACGCUCAGGCACGAAAGCGUGGGGAGCAAACAGGAUUAGAAACCCUAGUAGUCC
rnacentral:rRNA from 1 species